GGAGUGGUAGUUCAGUUGGUUAGAAUGCCGGCCUGUCACGCCGGAGGUCGCGGGUUCGAGUCCCGUCCGCUCCGCCA
rnacentral:tRNA from 16 species